rnacentral:tRNA from 1 species
GUAUAUAUAGUUUAAAAAAAUUCUAGAUUGUGAUUCUAGAGAUGAAAGUUAAACCCUUUCUAUAAACC